rnacentral:rRNA from 1 species
UUGUCCUGUGACUGCGUACCUUUUGUAUAAUGGGUCAGCGACUUAUAUUCAGUGGCAAGGUUAACCAUCUAGGGGAGCCGUAGGGAAACCGAGUCUUAACUGGGCGUUCAGUCUCUGGAUAUAGACCCGAAACCAGGUGAUCUAGCCAUGGGCAGGUUGAAGGUUGAGUAACAUCAACUGGAGGACCGAACCGACUAAUGUUGAAAAAUUAGCGGAUGACUUGUGGCUAGGGGUGAAAGGCCAAUCAAACCUGGAGAUAGCUGGUUCUCCCCGAAAGCUAUUUAGGUAGCGCCUCGGACGAAUACUACUGGGGGUAGAGCACUGUUAAGGCUAGGGGGUCAUCCCGACUUACCAACCCUUUG